rnacentral:tRNA from 1 species
GGCUGCGUAGCUCAACUGGAUAGAGUACCUGACUACGAAUCAGGCGGUUCCAGGUUCGACCCCUGGCGCGGUCACCA